GAUGAACGCUGGCGGCGUGCCUAAUACAUGCAAGUCGAGCGAACGUACGAGAAGCUUGCUUCUCUGAUGUUAGCGGCGGACGGGUGAGUAACACGUGGAUAACCUACCUAUAAGACUGGGAUAACUUCGGGAAACCGGAGCUAAUACCGGAUAAUAUUUUGAACCGCAUGGUUCAAAAGUGAAAGACGGUCUUGCUGUCACUUAUAGAUGGAUCCGCGCUGCAUUAGCUAGUUGGUAAGGUAACGGCUUACCAAGGCAACGAUGCAUAGCCGACCUGAGAGGGUGAUCGGCAACACUGGAACUGAGAAACGGUCAAGACUCCUAAGGGAGGCAGCAGUAGGGAAUCUUCCGCAAUGGGCGAAAGCCUGACGGAGCAACGCCGCGUGAGUGAUGAAGGUCUUCGGAUCGUAAAACUCUGUUAUUAGGGAAGAACAUAUGUGUAAGUAACUGUGCACAUCUUGACGGUACCUAAUCAGAAAGCCACGGCUAACUACGUG
rnacentral:rRNA from 1 species